AAAUGAAUUGACGGGGGCCCGCACAAGCGGCGGAGCAUGCGGAUUAAUUCGAGGCAACGCGAAGAACCUUACCAAGGCUUGACAUACACCGGAAGCCGCCAGAGAUGGUGGUCUCUUUGAUACUGGUGUACAGGUGGUGCAUGGUUGUCGUCAGCUCGUGUCGUGAGAUGUUGGGUUAAGUCCCGCAACGAGCGCAACCCUUGUCCUAUGUUGCCAGCACGUUAUGGUGGGGACUCAUGGGAGACUGCCGGGGUUAACUCGGAGGAAGGUGGGGAUGACGUCAAAUCAUCAUGCCCCUUAUGUCUUGGGCUUCACGCAUGCUACAAUGGCCGGUACAGAGGGAAGCGAUAUCGUGAGGUGGAGCGGAUCCCUUAAAGCCGGUCUCAGUUCGGAUCGAAGUCUGCAACUCGACUUCGUGAAGGUGGAGUCGCUAGUAAUCGCAGAUCAGCAACGCUGCGGUGAAUACGUUCUCGGGCCUUGUACACACCGCCCGU
rnacentral:rRNA from 1 species